UACGGAGGGGGCUAGCGUUGUUCGGAAUGACUGGGCGUAAAGCGCGCGUAGGCGGAUCAGAAAGUUGGGGGUGAAAUCCCGCAGCUCAACUGCGGAACUGCCUUUGAUACUGGGUAUCUUGAGUAUGGAAGAGGUGAGUGGAAUUCCGAGUGUAGAGGUGAAAUUCGUAGAUAUUCGGAGGAACACCAGUGGCGAAGGCGGCUCACUGGUCCAUUACUGACGCUGAGGUGCGAAAGCGUGGGGAGCAAACAGG
rnacentral:rRNA from 1 species